UACGUAGGGAGCAAGCGUUGUCCGGAUUCACUGGGUGUAAAGGGUGCGCAGGCGGGUUGGCAAGUCAGAGGUGAAAUCUCACAGCUUAACCGUGAAACUGCCUUUGAUACUGCAGAUCUUGAGUUCGGGAGAGGUUGAUGGAAUUCCAGGUGUAGCGGUGAAAUGCGUAGAUAUCUGGAAGAACACCAGUGGCGAAGGCGGUCAACUGGCCCGUAACUGACGC
rnacentral:rRNA from 1 species